rnacentral:rRNA from 1 species
UACGUAGGGUGCAAGCGUUGUCCGGAAUCAUUGGGCGUAAAGCGCGUGUAGGCGGUUCGGUAAGUCUGCUGUGAAAGUCCGGGGCUCAACCCCGGAAAGCCGGUGGAUACUGUCGAACUAGAGUGCGGAAGAGGCGAGUGGAAUUCCUGGUGUAGCGGUGGAAUGCGCAGAUAUCAGGAAGAACACCAACGGCGAAGGCAGCUCGCUGGGACGGUACUGACGCUGAGACGCGAAAGCGUGGGGAGCGAACAGG